GGUAUUUCAGAUCUAGGAGAGGUGUCUAGGUAUAGGAAAGGGUAUUUCAGAUCUAGGAGAGGUGUCUAGGUAUAGGAAAGGGUAUUUCAGAUCUAGGAGAGGUGUCUAGGUAUAGGAAAGGGUAUUUCAGAUCUAGGAGAGGUGUCUAGGUAUAGGAAAGGGUAUUUCAGAUCUAGGAGAGGUGUCUAGGUAUAGGAAAGGGUAUUUCAGAUCUAGGAGAGGUGUCUAGGUAUAGGAAAGGGUAUUUCAGAUCUAGGAGAGGUGUCUAGGUAUAGGAAAGGGUAUUUCAGAUCUAGGAGAGGUGUCUAGGUAUAGGAAAGGGUAUUUCAGAUCUAGGAGAGGUGU